UCCAACAUUUUAGAAGUCCUCUGUCGUCUCCUCUCUCAUCUGCCUCGCGUUCUUGAGAGAAAGAGGCAACAAACCCUAGCCCUAGGUUUCGAUGGCGAUGGCGAUCGCGACGCGAUCGCGAUCUCACGUUCUUGACAGAGUGAUCAUCCACUUCGUCGAUUCAGAAACUGAGCACAGUAGGUCAUUACUUGUUGGCCAGUUUGUAGGGACUAUUGAUGGAAUUUGGUAUCUCAACAACAUAUGCAGAACUUUGUAGGGUAUGACUAGGAUGACUUGUAUAGGCUGCUUGCUUAUUGACUAGGAUGACCUGAUGAAAAUGGUUCUACAUGGGUUUUUAUUUUGGUGAAAGUGGUACAUUUGCUGAGGGUGAAACUGGGUUUUGUUUAUGAUGAUUAUUUUGAUAAAUUAACUAUUAUUCCGGCAACGGUAGGUACCGAAGGUUGAACUUCAGCAUUUUUUUCA